rnacentral:sRNA from 1 species
CGCGCGCGUCGCACGCAUGAGCACGAGUAUG